rnacentral:rRNA from 1 species
GACGGGUGAGACCGAGGUGAUCUACCYGAGAGGUGGGGAUASCUGUGGAACACAGGGUAAUMCSGACAUAUUGUCCUCGAGUSUAUGGACACAGGGAAAGGUSUUCAGGCAUCWSCUCCUGGAUUGASCUNGCGCCUMGAUUAGCUAGUUGGUGGGGUAAGAGCCCACCAAGGCGACGAUCAGUAGCCGGCCUGAGAGGGUGAGCGGCCACACUGGGACUGAGAUACGGCCCAGACUCCUACGGGAGGCAGCAGCUAAGAAUCUUCCGCAAUGGACGAAAGUCUGACGGAGCGACGCCGCGUGGGUGAUGAAGGCCGUGAGGUUGUAAAGCCCUUUUCUGACUGAGGAAUAAGCACACGAGGCAAUGCGUGUGUGAUGACMGGYAGGUCAGGAAUAAGCCCCGGCCAAUUACGUGCCAGCAGCCGCGGUAACACGUAUGGGGSGAGCGUUGUUCGGAAUCAUUGGGCGURAAGGGCGCGCARGCGGUUGURCAAGCCUGGUGUGAAAGACCSCAGCUUAACUGCGGGAACGCGCUAGGGAACUGCAUGACUUGAGUUCAGGAGGGGAA